rnacentral:rRNA from 1 species
GAUGAACGCUGGCGGCGUGCCUAAUACAUGCAAGUCGAGCGAACGGACGAGAAGCUUGCUUCUCUGGUGUUAGCGGCGGACGGGUGAGUAACACGUGGAUAACCUACCUAUAAGACUUGGAUAACUUCGGGAAACCGGAGCUAAUACCGGAUAAUAUUUUGAACCGCAUGGUUCAAAAGUUCAAGACGGUCUUGCUGUCACUUAUAGAUGGAUCCGCGCUGCAUUAGCUAGUUGGUAAGGUAACGGCUUACCAAGGCAACGAUGCAUAGCCGACCUGAGAGGGUGAUCGGCCACACUGGAACUGAGACACGGUCCAGACUCCUACGGGAGGCAGCAGUAGGGAAUCUUCCGCAAUGGGCGAAAGCCUGACGGAGCAACGCCGCGUGAGUGAUGAAGGUCUUCGGAUCGUAAAACUCUGUUAUUAGGGAAGAACAUAUGUGUAAGUAACUGUGCACAUCUUGACGGUACCUAAUCAGAAAGCCACGGCUAACUACGUG